UACGUAGGGUGCGAGCGUUGUCCGGAAUUAUUGGGCGUAAAGAGCUCGUAGGCGGCUUGUCGCGUCGGAUGUGAAAGCCCGGGGCUUAACUCCGGGUCUGCAUUCGAUACGGGCAGGCUAGAAUUCGGUAGGGGAGACUGGAAUUCCUGGUGUAGCGGUGAAAUGCGCAGAUAUCAGGAGGAACACCGGUGGCGAAGGCGGGUCUCUGGGCCGAUAUUGACGCUGAGGAGCGAAAGCGUGGGGAGCGAACAGG
rnacentral:rRNA from 1 species